CCCUACGGGGUGCAGCAGGCAACAUCACCGGAGGGCCUCGCCAUGAAGGUCCUGUCCGUUCUCGACCUCAACACCAUCGCAAAGCAGCUGAUCGCGGAAUGCGGGGAGCUGAACGACGUCUGGGUAGUUGGAGAGGUAUCCAACCUUACCAAGCACAGCUCGGGCCAUUACUACUUCACGCUCAAGGAUUCGGCCAGCGAGGUCCGCUGCACGUUCUUCCAGACCGCCCGGGUGAGGUCCGAGGUGGAGCUGGAGGAGAACAUGAGGAUCAUUGCCUUCGGCUCCAUGGAUGUGUACCUGAAGAAAGGGAGCUACAGCUUCAACGUCAAGAAGGUUCAAGCGCAGGGCUUGGGCGAGCUGUACCUCGCAUACGAGGCGCUGCGCAGGAAGCUGGAGGCGGGGGAGC
rnacentral:rRNA from 1 species